GACAGAGGAGGCAAGCGUUGUCCGGAUUAACUGGGCGUAAAGCGUCCGCAGGUGGCACGGUCAGUGGGGUGUGAAAGCCGGUGGCUUAACCGCCGGAGGCCAUCCCAAACUGCCGCGCUGGAGUCGGGCAGAGGGUGCCGGAAUUGCCGGUGUAGUGGUGAAAUGCGUAGAUAUCGGGAGGAACACCAGUGGCGAAGGCGACUACCUGGCCUGUUCUUGACGCUGAGGCGCGAAAGCUAGGGGAGCAAACGGGG
rnacentral:rRNA from 1 species